GCCACGGUAGCUCAAUCGGUAGAGCAAUCGCUUCGUAAGCGAUCGGUUAAGGGUUCGAUUCCCUUCCGUGGCU
rnacentral:tRNA from 1 species